rnacentral:rRNA from 1 species
UACGGGGGGGGCAAGCGUUGUUCGGAAUUACUGGGCGUAAAGGGCUCGUAGGUGGCCAACUAAGUCGGACGUGAAAUCCCUCAGCUUAACUGGGGAACUGCGUCCGAUACUGGAUGGCUCGAGUUUGGGAGAGGGAUGCGGAAUUCCAGGUGUAGCGGUGAAAUGCGUAGAUAUCUGGAGGAACACCGGUGGCGAAGGCGGCAUCCUGGACCAACACCGACACUGAGGAGCGAAAGCCAGGGGAGCAAACGGG